GACGGGGGGAGCAAGCGUUGUUCGGAUUUACUGGGCGUAAAGGGCGCGUAGGCGGCCAGCACAAGUCAGUUGUGAAAUCUCCGAGCUUAACUCGGAAAGGUCAACUGAUACUGUGCGGCUAGAGUGCGGAAGGGGCAACUGGAAUUCUUGGUGUAGCGGUGAAAUGCGUAGAUAUCAAGAGGAACACCGGUGGCGAAGGCGGUUCUCUGGGCAUUACCUGACGCUGAGGAGCGAAAGCGUGGGUAGCAAACGGG
rnacentral:rRNA from 1 species